rnacentral:rRNA from 1 species
AUUGAACGCUGGCGGCAUGCCUUACACAUGCAAGUCGAACGGCAGCACGGGAGCAAUCCUGGUGGCGAGUGGCGAACGGGUGAGUAAUAUAUCGGAACGUGCCCGGUCGUGGGGGAUAACGUAGCGAAAGCUACGCUAAUACCGCAUACGAUCUACGGAUGAAAGCGGGGGAUCGCAAGACCUCGCGCGAUUGGAGCGGCCGAUAUCAGAUUAGGUAGUUGGUGAGGUAGAGGCUCACCAAGCCGACGAUCUGUAGCUGGUCUGAGAGGACGACCAGCCACACUGGGACUGAGACACGGCCCAGACUCCUACGGGAGGCAGCAGUGGGGAAUUUUGGACAAUGGGCGCAAGCCUGAUCCAGCAAUGCCGCGUGCAGGAUG